rnacentral:misc_RNA from 1 species
GAAAUGCGAUAAGUAAUGUGAAUUGCAGAAUUCAGUGAAUCAUCGAAUCUUUGAACGCACCUUGCGCUCCUUGGUAUUCCUUGGAGCAUGCCUGUUUGAGUAUCAUGAAAUCUUCAAAGUAAAUCUUUUGUUAACUCAAUUGGUUUCUACUUUGGUAUUGGAGGUCUUUGCAGCUUCACACCUGCUCCUCUUUGUUCAUUAGCUGGAUCUCAGUGUUAUGCUUGGUUCCACUCGGCGUGAUAAGUUAUCUAUCGCUGAGGACACUGUAAAAGGUGGCCAAGGUAAAUGCAGAUGAACCGCUUCUAAUAGUCCAUUGACUUGGACAAUACUUUUAUGAUCUGAUCUCAAAUCAGGUAGGAAUACCCGCAGAACUUAAGC